GAUGAAGAACGCAGCGAAAUGCGAUAAGUAAUGUGAAUUGCAGAAUUCAGUGAAUCAUCGAAUCUUUGAACGCACAUUGCGCCCGCCAGUAUUCUGGCGGGCAUGCCUGUUCGAGCGUCAUUACGACCCUCAGGCCCCCGGGCCUGGCGUUGGGGAUCGGCGGAAGCCCCCUGCGGGCACAACGCCGUCCCCCAAAUACAGUGGCGGUCCCGCCGCAGCUUCCAUUGCGUAGUAGCUAACACCUCGCAACUGGAGAGCGGCGCGGCCACGCCGUAAAACACCCAACUUCUGAAUGUUGACCUCGAAUCAGGUAGGAAUACCCGCUGAACUUAAGCAUAUCAAUAAGCGGAGGA
rnacentral:misc_RNA from 1 species